UACGUAGGGGGCUAGCGUUGUCCGGAUUUAUUGGGCGUAAAGAGCGUGUAGGCGGCCUGUCGCGUCUGCUGUGAAAAUCCGGGGCUCAACCCCGGACUUGCAGUGGGUACGGGCAGACUAGAGUGUGGUAGGGGAGACUGGAAUUCCUGGUGUAGCGGUGAAAUGCGUAGAUAUCUGGAGGAAUACCGGUGGCGAAGGCGGCAUCCUGGACCGGCAUUGACGCUGAUGAGCGAAAGCUAGGGGAGCAAACGGG
rnacentral:rRNA from 1 species